rnacentral:lncRNA from 1 species
CUCUUCCAUCCCAAUUACCCUAGCCCUAUCCCGCCAUAGCCCGAGACUUGAUACCUUAACGUCUCGAGCGCCCCCCACCAUACAAAAAUAGGGCCUGAGCUAUGCCCUCCUGAAAACCUAAAUUUAGUAAAUCGCACCCCACUUCGGAAAGGUGUACCCCAUCCUUGCGAAAGUACCCAGGCAACAUGCCCUCUAACUCCCAGUGUCGUACUGUAACCCCGCCCGACCUCCGGACGAAAACUGACAUCGCUCUAUUCACUUUUCCCCGGCAUCGCGCCACAGCAGCAGAGUCCCUGGUAUGUCUCCAAUUAAACCUCGGCACCAUCUCGGACCAUACUACCACCACACCAGGCACCAGCUCCCGUAGCCGAUCCAGGUCCCGCUUCAUUCUCCUAAUUAGUUCCCUCUGAGGAAUCAAUCCCAAAUCGUUACCCCCACCGUGAAUAAGUAGUAUAUCAGGGGAAGCCCCCCCUGAGACCAUCCUAAAAAUUACUCCACUAAUGUUCUGCCAACUGAAACCACGAUAACCAAACCACUGUAACUCCACCGUUUCCAGAAGAAAACCCAGCUGUGUUCCAUUCCGCCGAACUGCGGCCCUCUUCUGCGCCCAAAAAACGUAAGAGUGACCCACCAACCAGGCAACCAUACCUGUAAAGAAACAGAAUCAAUUAACUUUGCUGGGCACGUAUUGACAACCCCCCAACCUGACCACAACCACGUUAUACCAACCAAUCUGGUCUCACAUAUGAACGAAAACGAAUGGAUUCCCACCGACCGAUCUGCUUAAUCCGUUCGUCCCCCAGGCCCAGUCGUGCCGCCUCCGUUGCCGCCCCGAUCCGAAACGAAUGAGUGCCAAAUUGCAUGGGAUGUAGGCCCAACCGCUUAAGCCCCAUGCGAAAUACCCGUAUAAAUUGAAAACGUGACAGUGCAAAACCGUCUUCAUGAAUAAAAAAGCACCCUGACUCCUCUGGGCGAAUGUGUAAGAACUCGCGCCCGCACGCCACCGGGCAGACCUCCGACCCAGGUAACGAGAACAAUACCACCUUCCUUCCUCUCCCAAAAACAUCCGUCUUGGAGCGUCUCAGUUGAAUCUCGACUUUGUCCCGGCCAACGACUACGUCCUCAAACUUGAGCCCGUUAACUCCGGACUUGUUACUGCUGACCAGUUCACCAAUGCGGAACGCCCCGAAGAAGGCCCAAACAAACGCUACCGAAAAUAACACCACCUCAAACGACGAUGUGCACACAUCGCGCAAUCCCCCUACCAGCCCUUGCAGGAUGGCAAACGACACCGGCCGCCUCGUGUCCACGGUCCUCUUCCCUUUACGGAAGCUGCGCAGGGCUUGUUUCACUAUAAAAUUCUUGGUAAAGUCCUCCCAUCCAUUAAACUUAAACCAAAAUGCCAGCGCUGACAUGUAACGGUCCACCCUGGAGGGCGAGGCCCCGCCUGCCAGUAACCGACACAACAACCAUAACAAUGUGUCAAACCUACCUGCAGCAGAGGACUCCCCUCCCGUCUGCCCUACCAUCUCCUCCCAUUCCGUCCAAACCUUAGUGUACGCCGCCCAGGUGCCUGGCGCUAAGGAGCUCCUUACGAAAUCCCCAAGCACGAUGUCCCGAGCUGCCAUAUGCCGUCUGGGCACGCCUGUCCCGUAUCUUGUGCGCCCGGAGCUGCUUCCCGAAAACGUUCCCACUGUGAAUGAGACAGCGCGUCAGCAACAACAUUCAACAAGCCCGGAACGUGCCGGGCCCUGAAAACAAUAUUCCAUGACAUACAAAGAAGAACCAAGUGUCUCAACAACCGUACUACAAGCAGCGACGAAGCCGAAAUACUAUUGAUCGCUUGCACCACCGCCAUGUUGUCCGAGUGGAAAACCACCUUCCUGUUCGCGAGUUCCUCGCCCCACAGAGCUAUUGCUACCACCACUGGGAAGAACUCCAGGAAGGCCAGAUUCCUGAUCAAGGAGCUUUCCU